GGCAGUUUUUUCCCCCUUUCCAGCCCAGUUGAACUGGCUGGCCAAGCUGUUGUCCAGGAGGCUACGCAGCAUCCGCCUCACCGUGACCCCUACAUCAGUUCCGCCACAAAGGGCUAAGGUGUUGCAGAUGAUUGGAAAAGAAAGCUCCCUGAUUUCCUCCCUCAGCUGGCCAAGGAGAGAGAUCACGGUGCUGAUGCCCAUGUCUGUUAAGUAACAUGAAACAUUAGGACUUUUGUUACCCAUUGCUUGUCAUUUUUGAAAAGUGAUUACAGUUGAGGACUCACCACGCAGCAACUCAUUGUUCCCCUGUUGGGAUGGCAGAGGUGUGGCUGAAAUAUCAGAGUACAAUUUAGUUCACUGCAGGGUGCUUAAUUUAAAUGUCUGUUCUAAAUUGACAAUUUUCAUGUUGAUUGAUUUCCUCUUUGACUUACCAUGGAAGCGGUGACG